AGAAAUGAUUUAAUAAAAACGUUAUAUAAAAAUAUCUUACUGAGUUCAUCUGUAUCUUCAGGUUCUUCCUUCUUCACAGGCUUCAUCUGGAAACCUCCACACUGUUGGUCCUCUGAGAAGAGCAGUUCCACAGAAGCAACAAGUUCUGGAGGGAUUAAAGUGACUUCACCUGAAAUUCAUCAAUAUGAGAAGAAGAAACUCAACAACUGGAGGAAACUGAAGAUGAGGCUCUACAGUACAAACACAGCAGCUUCUUGUUCUUCUUAUGAUGGUUAAUGGGGGAUGGUAGAACAACUUAAGACGCACCAGCGCCACCAACUGGACUGGAGUUGAACAGCAGCUCAGCAGUAAUAAAUCUCCACUAGCACAUCUGUAUCUCUCUAUUGCCGAGGAGUUAAUAUGUGUGUUUAUAUCACUUCAUGUAUCUACACGUAUCUAUUCUAUUAAUAUUCAUAAGCAUGCACACACACAUACACACACACACACACAUACACAACACACACACAUGCUUCCACGUUCACAUGUUUUUGCUGUAUGUGUUAUGUAGAUAAUAUUUGGGUGAUUUGAUGUAUGUUUAUGUUGUUGAGCUUUGAAUGUUAUUUUUGCUUCACUGUAUGUAUGGUGCAUCAUUAAACUGUUAUACAUUAUUUUA